rnacentral:rRNA from 1 species
GGCUUAGAGUUUGAUCAUGGCUCAGGAUGAACGCUGGCGGCGUGCCUAACACAUGCAAGUUGAGCGAUUUACUUCGGUAAAGAGCGGCGGACGGGUGAGUAACGCGUGGGUAACCUGCCCUGUACACACGGAUAACAUACCGAAAGGUAUGCUAAUACGAGAUGAUAUGCUUUUAUCGCAUGGUAGAAGUAUCAAAGCUUUUGCGGUACAGGAUGGACCCGCGUCUGAUUAGCUAGUUGGUAAGGUAACGGCUUACCAAGGCGACGAUCAGUAGCCGACCUGAGAGGGUGAUCGGCCACAUUGGAACUGAGACACGGUCCAAACUCCUACGGGAGGCAGCAGUGGGGAAUAUUGCACAAUGGGCGAAAGCCUGAUGCAGCAACGCCGCGUGAGCGAUGAAGGUCUUCGGGUCGUAAAGCUCUGUCCUCAAGGAAGAUAAUGACGGUACUUGAGGAGGAAGCCCCGGCUAACUACGUGCCAGCAGCCGCGGUAAUACGUAGGGGGCUAGCGUUAUCCGGAAUUACUGGGCGUAAAGGGUGCGUAGGUGGUUUCUUAAGUCAGAGGUGAAAGGCUACGGCUCAACCGUAGUAAGCCUUUGAAACUGGGAAACUUGAGUGCAGGAGAGGAGAGUG